UUCUCUUCUCCCUCACGCACGACCAAACCCCCCUCCAUUUUUUUACUCAGCUUGUCUGUCCUCCUCAGCCGACUAGAUCGCCAGCCGCCGUCCUCUUUAGCCCGAUCAGAUCGCCAACUGUUGCCGUCCUCAGCCCAACCAGACCGUUUCACCGGUUGGUAGCGAGCCUCCACAGCCACUCACCGCCGCCGACCAGUGUUGCUCCUCUGCGCGUCACCCACGAACCAACCAGUGCCGCUCCAGACGCAUCUGCACCUGAGCCACUGUAGCCAGCGCCGCUUCUCUCCUUCAGUCAAUCGGAUCUAUGCCAGAUUCCAACUGUCGUGGCCGUCGUUGCUUGUGCCAUCAUCAGAUUUAUCAAUUUGGGUAUUAAGGUGCUGUUAGGUGAAGUUGGAAUUGUUUUAGCAGAUUUGGUGCGCCUCAUAUCACACUUUGGGGUCUUACUUGGAGUUGCUGGUUUCGUUGGUUGUCUGAUAUUAUCUGCGGAUUUUCGAUUUAGGGUGGAUUCAAAGCCUUCCAAGAGUUGUAAGAGGGUUAAUUACUUGGAUUAAUUUGUGACCAAAUUUGAGGUAAAGGUAGAGAUGCACCGGCGAAGGACAAGCAGAAUUCAUGAUCGAGCCACUAGGACUAAU